AAUAAAUGAAUUUCUAUGUUUUUAGAUAAAUUUUUUGACUUUUCGUCUUAUUUGAAAAAUUUUUGUGAUUAAUAUUUUUAUUGUUACUAUAUGGUAAAACAUGAAUAGUACUUUACGUGCGACUAUUUUUUUCAACUUUUUAAUAAAUUUUUUAAAUAAGACGGAUGGUCAAACGCUUGACCUAGAAUACCCAGA
rnacentral:pre_miRNA from 1 species